UUUGAAUAUAAUAAAAACUUUAAAUAAAAUAUUCUAUUUUCUUAAAACACAAUAGUUUCAAAGUCUUCCUAAAAAAACUUUUGUAGCGUAAGAGUAAAAUAAAAUUAUUCAUAUAGUAAUAAAGAUAGUUAAAGUAUGAAAUUUUGUUUACAGUGAUACGUGGGCCCCCAACUGACCAAGAAGGUGUAGGGCUACGAACCCUUACUUUCUAGGAUGCAACUCCGAGAUUAAUUUUCAUCUGAAUCAACUAUCAACAAACUGUCCUGAGCCUGAAAAAUGAUAGGAAGAGGGGUGAGAUUACAUAAUCCCAAUGAGUAACAAUUACCAUCAAAAACAUUUAAAGCUGAGUACAUGAAGACAAUAUAAAAAUGUUCUAUCUUAAUAAUGUUCAUAACGCAAAAUUUGUUUCGAUCUAUACCAAACCAUUUCGUUUCAUCAAAAUUUCCUAGCUUAUGAAUUUUGUAAACUUGGCCCCUGCCAUAAUUAUUCUCGCGGGUACCUUUGUCAAGGUAUCCCACUGAGACCGCCAAGGUUGUUAAAUGUCCCAUACCCAUAAACAUGUUUUCGCAUCUGACACACAGUCGUUCCUUGGCGUUGGCUGAGUUUGACUCUCAUGUGGUGGCCCAAAUGUGAGGUGCACUCAAAUCUUACCUCAGGAGAUACUUCAUCCAACAUCUCCCCCCGGAGGUAGGUGUAUAAUUGGGUUACCGUGCCCCUCUCAUAGGUAGUCCACGGAAACCCCCACCACUGCAAUGACCAUUAAUAUACCACCAGACACAUAAAAUUUUCAGUAGCAUAAUAUGGCAAAUAAAAUUUAAUCCAGUCUACCGAGACCAAUCUAAAACUGUUCAUAUAUUUCAUGUCAACCCCAAAAAUUUAGCCAUCAUGCUAGCAUAAUGUCAUAAGCCACAAUUUCAAUAACAUAUAAAAUAAUAAAUUCAACACCGUCUCCAUAUACUUAAUUUUCUCAAAAUAAUAUUUGAUUUCAAAACCAGCAUAAAUCUCAUUUUUAUUAAAAAACAUUUUAAUUGGAAAACAUAAUAUUUUAUAAUUUAAACUCACCAUUCAAUGAAAGCGUCAAACAAGUAUAAUUACUCUAGAUAUUUAAGAUGAUAAAUAGUCCACUCACUGUAUUAGGAGUAGAAAUACUCAUAUUUUCAGUCUGCGGGUACAGUCCUUUACCCGUAUCCAAUGGCUCAGCACCUAGCCAUAAGCCAUGACACAUAUUCCAAUUAAAUUGUGUCUAACAGUCAUAAGCUAUUUCAAGCUCAAUAUAUAUGCAUGAUAUGAAAUGAAAAAUGCACGGAUAGCCAUCUAGACCCAGUAUUGGCCUAAGUUAAUUUUUCAUCCGAUAAAUUGGCCAAUGCGUCCAAUUUCACUCCAACUUGCUCCAUUUCUUUUUUAAUCCCUCAAUUCACCAAACACAAACUAAUUAACACACAGUUAGGCAAAAUUUAUCUUCACUUUUCUUCUUGGAACUUUCGGCCAACAAUGGUACACUAACUCCAUGAUUUUUCCUACUUAAUUUUCUCUCCAUAAUACAUUAAUUCCUACACCAACAACUAUUAUUUCUUAAUCAAAUCGUUUGGAAUAACAUCCCAUUCUUCCUCAUUAUUCACUUAGAGAAUUCGGCUAUUGAUGGGCACCAAACCUUUGGCGGUUUUCUUCACUUGUUUUCAUGCUACACAUCAUUAAUCACCUAAAAACACUAACAUACCUAAAAAUCAAACCAAUCCAAGAUCAUUCUCUCUCCAUACCCAUUUUGCCUACCACUUAUUCACUAUGAAAUCAUGCUUCUCAACCAUAGAAAUAAGAAAAUAAAACAUGGGUAUUGUAAAUCUCGAGUAAAAACUAAAGAAUGUUCACUUUACCUUGCUUAAUUCCUUGGAAUCCCACACUUUUUCUUCAAUUUUCCCACCUAGGGUUUGUGUUCUUUCAUUUCUUCUUCACU
rnacentral:lncRNA from 1 species